GGCAGUAUUUUCUGGAGAAGGGAUGCUCGGCCUGAGUCUGUACCUUCAACGGAUGAUGGAGGGAGACAGUUGAAUGUCUUCCUUGACAUCUUAUCUCCCUAGAAGGAAGGGAGUUAAUCUUACCAGACCUCCCAUUGUCCUGGAGAGUGACAGGGUAAAAUUGUACUUGCUUUUAGCUCUGUAUUCCUAAAUCAUACUAACAGUUGGAUCAGAAUGCUCUGUUUGGAAGCUUCAGAUAGAAGAAAAACUUGUGUGAACACCUGGAAAAUGCAUUAGCAAAAGAGUAUUGUGGAAGUUCUCCACAUUUGAGACUUCUCCUUCUCUGACCUGGACUGGAUUUCGUAUUGCUGGCUACUCCUUCUCUGACGUGGACUGGAUUUCGUAUUGCUGACACAGAUUGGACUCAACAACGUUGACAUUGUGUUUGGGUGACUUCGACAGACGUCUUUGGUCCCCUGCUGGUCAUCAAUUCCUGCCUGGUGACAUCCUGCUGGGAAUUGGAGUGCCUUCUUAGUUGUUUUACAAAGUUUGUUUUUAAACCGGAUUAUACUCCGGUUUAA